UUAUAGUUUAGGAUAAGACUUUAUUGAUCCCUCUGGGGAAAUUCACAAGCUACCUAAUAGGCUAUUUUAUAAAGUAGUUCAAAUUAAAAAAAAAAACAUAACCCCUGCACACGGACUCCAAACAAGAAAUUAAUUUUAUUACACAAGAUUGACCCGACAGAGAUCCAGUCGAUUGAAACAUUGUCAAUUUAAUUUGUCAAUGUCUCAGAUGAUGACACACCUUACGUUGACACAUGAAUCCUUGCAUCUGGUAGAUUAGCUAUAUUAAAAGAAAAACUUGUGUUCCAGUUCCUUUUUCAACGACUGUCCAUUGGUUUGGCUCUCUGUGAAAAUUAUUCAUAUAGAAUGGUUUGAAAACCAGUACUUAAAGGCAGGGUUGUUAAUGUUGAGGAGCUAGCAAGAAUUAAAAGUAGCAUUUCCCCCCCGCCGCCCUUGGGGCUCAGACCCACAUGCAGACGUGCAUGAGCACUGCUAUGUCGCCGCUUCAGAGCAGAGCUGGGAAAUUACCGCAAUUUUACACUACUUCAUGUCUCAUUCACCGGUUAAGAUAAGAUGAGAUAGACCUUUUUAAUCCCACACUGGGGAAAUUCCUGAAAAACAGCAGACAGCGCCUGUGGUUCGAACCCCUGACCCAGAGGAGCUAGGAAUCAACAUUUGAGUGGAAGUAACCACUGAGCUAAAUCAGAGUUUUCCAUUUUUAUUUAUUCCCAGGAGCAAUUAACGGUACAAAGUACCCUUUGUUUUUAUAUUUUGUUUGAAUAAAAAAAUUCUAAAUGAUAAAUCACUUGAACUGAUUUAUGAUAUUAUCUCAACUGUUGUGGAUCAUUGUCUGUCUCCCUGUCCCUGCCUGUUUUCCUGUUCCCCUUUCCCUUGUGUGUGUGUUGUCUGUGUCUGUCUCCACCGGCUUCCAUGUCAUUCAAAGAGGAUCUAGGUCAAGGGGCGUGGCCACUCAUCUGCUCCAGCCAGCUGCAGAUCAUUCCAGUACUCAACCAACAGUUAUCAACCCAGGCUGUUCACCUCUUCAGCGCCAGUUUGUUGCAACCCUUCUCGUGAUUCUGCCUCUGGACCCGCUGCUCAUCAGCUUUCAUCUGCCUCCUCGCUGCCUACUCACCUCGCCACACUCCGCUCUCAACCAGCCAUUCCACACACCCGCCUUCUGAUCUCCGGCUUCGACCCUACCUGGAGCAGCUAUCCUGGCCAUCUCCCUCCUCCACUAUCAAACAUCGUUUCUAAUAAACACUGUAAACUGCU